CUUUAACAAUCCGGAACAAGCUGAAAAUUGAAACGACGCAGCUGAACAUUACCCGCGAGGGUAAUGAUUUUGUUGUGUCAGAGUCUCUCAAAUAAUCGCAGCACGACGUGUUCUCUGUAAGAGGCCCUAGGCCGUACAGAAAGAAACACCUUCGG
rfam:Brenneria sp. EniD312 chromosome, whole genome shotgun sequence.